AAGCUUAAAGAAUGGUCACUCAUUGAUAAGCAAGAGAACCAGUAUAUACUUGGGAAUAAAAUCAAAUUUAAAGUCCAUAACUCCAUAUUUAGAAGUACUGUCCAAUAUAGUUAUAUGGUUCAAUUAUCAUACUUACACUCUAUCCGAAUCAACAAAAGUUGCAAAGAGCAAAUGUAGAAGAUAACACAGUUGUUAGGUUGGAACAAGCUCGAGCAGCUAGAAUUAUGAAUUAAAAGUCUUCAUUUAGACAAAAGAUAUUGAUCAAACAGUUAGUACACUGAUCCUGAGUACCUGAAAAUCAUAUGUAUUGACACCUCUUAACAACAAACCAAAACCAGAAAUCAAGGUUCUAGGUUCUUUUAACGUUCUAUAGUGAAUGACUUGUCCUCUAAAAGGUCGACCAGG
rnacentral:misc_RNA from 1 species